rnacentral:rRNA from 1 species
GACGAACGCUGGCGGCGUGCUUAACACAUGCAAGUCGAACGGAAAGUGCUCUUCGGAGUGACUCGAGUGGCGAACGGGUGAGUAACACGUGGGUGAUCUGCCCUGCACUUUGGGAUAAGCCUGGGAAACUGGGUCUAAUACCGAAUAGGACCACGCGCUUCAUGGUGUGUGGUGGAAAGCUUUUGCGGUGUGGGAUGGGCCCGCGGCCUAUCAGCUUGUUGGUGGGGUAAUGGCCUACCAAGGCGACGACGGGUAGCCGGCCUGAGAGGGUGACCGGCAACACUGGGACUGAGAUACGGCCCAGACUCCUACGGGAGGCAGCAGUGGGGAAUAUUGCACAAUGGGCGCAAGCCUGAUGCAGCGACGCCGCGUGAGGGAUGACGGCCUUCGGGUUGUAAACCUCUUUCAGUAGGGACGAAGCGCAAGUGACGGUACCUAUAGAAGGAGGACCGGCCAACUACGUGCCAGCCGCCGCCGUAA